rnacentral:rRNA from 1 species
CACUCCUACGGGAGGCAGCAGUGGGGAAUAUUGCACAAUGGGCGCAAGCCUGAUGCAGCCAUGCCGCGUGUAUGAAGAAGGCCUUCGGGUUGUAAAGUACUUUCAGCGGGGAGGAAGGCGAUAAGGUUAAUAACCUUGUCGAUUGACGUUACCCGCAGAAGAAGCACCGGCUAACUCCGUGCCAGCAGCCGCGGUAAUACGGAGGGUGCAAGCGUUAAUCGGAAUUACUGGGCGUAAAGCGCACGCAGGCGGUCUGUCAAGUCGGAUGUGAAAUCCCCGGGCUCAACCUGGGAACUGCAUUCGAAACUGGCAGGCUAGAGUCUUGUAGAGGGGGGUAGAAUUCCAGGUGUAGCGGUGAAAUGCGUAGAGAUCUGGAGGAAUACCGGUGGCGAAGGCGGCCCCCUGGACAAAGACUGACGCUCAGGUGCGAAAGCGUGGGGAGCAAACAGGAUUAGAAACCCUAGUAGUCCC